rnacentral:tRNA from 1 species
UUUCCUGUGGUGCAACGGCAGGCACGUCAGAUUCUGACUCUGAAGAUCGUGGUUCGAAUCCAUGCGGGAAAA